rnacentral:rRNA from 1 species
GACGGGGGGGCAAGUGUUCUUCGGAAUGACUGGGCGUAAAGGGCACGUAGGCGGUGAAUCGGGUUGAAAGUGAAGUCGCCAAAAGUGGCGGAAUGCUCUCGAAACCAAUUCACUUGAGUGAGACAGAGGAGAGUGGAAAUUUCGUGUGUAGGGGUGAAAUCCGUAAAUAUACGAAGGAACGCCAAAAGCUGAAGGCAGCUACGUCUG